rnacentral:rRNA from 1 species
AUUGAACGCUGGCGGCAUGCUUUACACAUGCAAGUCGAACGGCAGCGCGGGGCAACCUGGCGGCGAGUGGCGAACGGGUGAGUAAUACAUCGGAACGUACCCAGAAGUGGGGGAAACGUUGCGGAAGGUACCCUUAAACCGGAUUCGGUCCUAGGGAGGAAGGGGGGGACCUUCCGGGCUCAUUCCUUUGGGGCCGGCGAUGUCUGAUUAGCUAGUUGGUGAGGUAAAGGCUCACCAAGGCGACGAUCAGUAGCUGGUCUGAGAGGACGACCAGCCACACUGGGACUGAGACACGGCCCAGACUCCUACGGGAGGCAGCAGUGGGGAAUUUUGGACAAUGGGCGCAAGCCUGAUCCAGCAAUGCCGCGUGAGUGAAGAAGGCCUUCGGGUUGUAAAGCUCUUUUGUCAGGGAAGAAACGGCUGAGGAUAAUACCUUCGGCUAAUGACGGUACCUGAAGAAUAAGCACCGGCUAACUACGUG